UGCUUAGCAGGCAAUUUGACAAAAACGGUUAGGCAAUUUAAGAAGAAGAAAAGAACGAUUAAUAAUUCACACUUCUACAAAAAGGACUUAAAUUGUGUAAAUCAUUUUAUGUUUGAUUUCAAAAGAAUUGUGUCGAAGAUUUUGGGAAAAUUAUAUUUGAAAUAGUGGAGCAACCUUCCAGAAACUUAAGAGAAAAAACAGACUCAAAUACAACAGGCGCCAUGCCGCAGUGCUCAAAUGGUUUUCAAUAUCGCUAAUUUUAAAUGAAGAUGCGGAUAUUAAGCAUUUAAAUGCCGUUAAACAAAUGCAACAGACGCCACGUUCCAGUGCUCUCAAAUGCACUAAAGAAACAAUUUUAAAAAAAAAUUGCUAUUUAAUUUUGGCAAGCGAAAUGCAACCGACGCCAGGCCGUACUGCCCGCAGGUCUACGAGACGUAGUCGAAGGAGUCGCCGCAAUAGUAAACCCAAAGUGAACACCAAAAUAAGCAAUGUGCAAAACGAAAAUAGUUUAGGGAAAAUCGCAGGAGAUAUCCAAGAAGAAAAAUACGGACAUGAAGAAAAUGAAAAAAUUCGCGAUAACGGGA